rnacentral:rRNA from 1 species
UACGGGAGGCAGCAGUGGGGAAUAUUGCACAAUGGGGGAAACCCUGAUGCAGCGACGCCGCGUGAGCGAAGAAGUAUUUCGGUAUGUAAAGCUCUAUCAGCAGGGAAGAAAAUGACGGUACCU